rnacentral:sRNA from 1 species
UUCAAGCCAGUGCUGGUAGCAACCGUCA